rnacentral:lncRNA from 1 species
AAUCUUCAAUCGUCGGAAAACUCUUGAACAUAUGAAUCCUUUGAUAAUCGUAGAGUCUCCAGCUCUCAAAACGCGUCUCUUUUCUCUCCAAAAUUGUCCAACCCUUGAAAACUCGUUUUCUCCCCUCUAAAUGGCUAUUCAGUUGGGCUUUUCCUGAUUCUGGGCUUGAUACGCGUAUUGCCCAGUCUCAUACGCGUAUUGCCCAGUCUGGUACGCGUAUUGCACGUAAGACAGUCUCUGAUACGCGUAUUGCCCAGUCUGGUAUGCGUAUCACCAGUUUGGUACGCGUAUCACCAGAAGUUUGUCUUUUUGCUUGAUUUUCAACCCUUCUGGUCAUUUGCGUAUGCUACGCGUACUGGGAAGGUCCAUACGCGUAUCAUGUAAGGUCAUACGCAUAUGGACAGCAAGUUCUCAAAGAAUUGAUUUUUUCUUCCGUUUUCUUGCUCGGGCUUAAUUUCGCAUCUGACGUUUGAUUCCCUGAGCUUCUAGACUAGUUUUUUACCUGCUAACAUACCCAAAAGUGUAAAAUAUCCUCAAGAAAUUCAUAAGUAACAACACACUUCCUAUUAUAGAAUUGAGCUUAUAUCUAACUAAAAAUGCUUCAGUUUACGCAGUAGUAACAACACACUUCCUAUUAUAGAAUUGAGCUUAUAUCUAACUAAAAAUGCUUCAGUUUACGCAGUUUACCUGACUUAUUUACGGUUAAAUAGUGAAAUACCUAGCAUAAAUGGUGACUGAUCACUCAUCAUCCACAACAACCUCACCAUCUGGAGGUGACACUGGCUUAACACCUUCAAUAGUCAUAGGUGACACUAACUCACAAGCAUAAUCAGUCGGAGGUGGCACUAGUUCCUCAGGUACCACCGAUGACUCGAGUACCUCUGACGCUUGAGUAAGUGAAACCUAUCGCAUGCGGGAGGAUAUAGGGAGUGAUGCAUCGGUAGGUAAAACCCGUCUCCUACGGGAAGAAGAAGACGGAGAAACAUGACCCCCAGAAAUAUAUGCCUCCGCUUGGCUAGAGUGAAUAGGAGCCUCCGCAACCUGACUAUUCUCCAUGCGCACUGAUGUAUGCUGUGCAACCCUCCUGUGCCUCAGUCUAUCGUGUCUAUAAUCCAUAAUGCCUGUAAGUAAACAAGAGAUUUAAUACAAGAAACACUACAACAAGAAAAUAAAUAAAAACUGAUAAUUUCUGGAGAUGCAUCUCAGGUUACUGGGAAACAAAAUGUUGAAAAAUUCCGGAGAUGCAUCUUCGGAAUUUUCUGCAAC